GAACCCGAGUGUGUCUUCCCCCAAAACCCGAUCUUGAUCUCCUCCUACCCGACCCUCUCCUUCCUCGAUCUCUCUUCUGCCCGACGCCUCUCUUGUGGAUGACUUGACGCCGAGGCCGGAGGAGUACAUCACCGGAGCCCGACGGUGCCGAGGAGCUGGAUCUACUCAGGGGGUUCUGUCCGGUGGGUUCUGCGGCUGAGCGUCGGCGGCGACGUGGCUAGGGCACUGUGAGGAGCAAGAUUUGAGUCAGCUCCCAACUGAUCGACCUCCGCUCUUCCCUCCUCGCGCUGCUCACAGGGGGAUUUGCGUCUUCUCCAGCCAGAUCGAGUUGUGCGACGUCUUCUGGAGAGUUGAGGUCACGAGAUUGGGUGUGUUGAAUUGUUGAUCUUAUCUCUUGUGAUUGGAUUGACUUCAAUGAAAUGAGGAUCUGUGAUCGUGAAGUGGAUUCAGCAGAGGUGUUCUGUAGGUUGUGAGGUCCCUUGUUCUUGAUUCCAAGCUUGAUCCGAUUGAUUCCAAUGAGGACAUGUUCUGUGGAAUUCAAAUUGUGUGCUGUGGAUUGCUUUAUGAUCCAGCAACAUAUGGUUUCAACAGCAACUCAAUUAGAGCAGCGAGGUCCUGUUGCUGUGAUGUUGGAAUUGUGAUCGUAAGGGAUUUCCAGUAGCAUCACCUGUGGCAUUCGAUUAGCGAGGUUGAGGCCGUCAGGAGAGAUUCCAGUCGCUAGCCCCUUGUUGCGAGGAUUUCUAGAUAUCGUGUUCUGUAUUCGCUUUAUACGUAUACUUGAGAUGUGGGUUUGUAUUGUGGACUUUAUAACGAACAUUGGGUUUACUACUUUUGGUUUUCCGUUGCGGAUAUUUUCAUUACA